AUAACAGGCUUAUCUCCCCCAAGAGUCCACAUCGACGGGGAGGUUUGGCACCUCGAUGUCGGCUCAUCACAUCCUGGGGCUGUAGUAGGUCCCAAGGGUUGGGCUGUUCGCCCAUUAAAGUGGUACGCGAGCUGGGUUCAGAACGUCGUGAGACAGUUCGGUCCCUAUCCGUCGCAGGCGUAGGAAAUUUGAGAAGACCUGUCCUUAGUACGAGAGGACCGGGAUGGACGUACCUCUGGUGUACCAGUUGUUCUGCCAAGGGCAUGGCUGGGUAGCUAUGUACGGAAUGGAUAAGCGCUGAAAGCAUCUAAGCGCGAAGCCAACUUCAAGAUAAGAUUUCCCACCGCAAGGGUAAGACCCCAGAAAGACUAUCUGGUUGAUAGGUCGAAGGUGUAAGUGCAGCAAUGUAUUUAGCUUAUCGAUACUAAUAGGUCGAGGACUUGACCAA
rnacentral:rRNA from 1 species